rnacentral:rRNA from 1 species
UGGGGAAUUUUGGACAAUGGGGGCAACCCUGAUCCAGCAAUGACGCGUGUGUGAAGAAGGCCUUCGGGUUGUAAAGCACUUUUGUCCGGGAAGAAAUCGCACCUGAUAAUACCGGGUGUGGAUGACGGUACCGGAAGAAUAAGGACCGGCUAACUACGUGCCAGCAGCCGCGGUAAUACGUAGGGUCCAAGCGUUAAUCGGAAUUACUGGGCGUAAAGCGUGCGCAGGCGGUUGUGCAAGACCGAUGUGAAAUCCCCGGGCUUAACCUGGGAAUUGCAUUGGUGACUGCACGGCUAGAGUGUGUCAGAGGGGGGUAGAAUUCCACGUGUAACAGUGGAAUGCGUAGAGAUGUGGAGGAAUACCGAUGGCGAAGGCAGCCCCCUGGGAUAACACUGACGCUCAUGCACGAAAGCGUGGGGAGCAAACAGG